GCGUGCCUCAAAUGUGCACAAAUGGGGAGUUGCCUGUACUACAAAUGUUUGUGUGUGAUGGUUUGUUUUUAUCCCUUUCUAAGGCAGUGCUUGCACUCCAUCCUUUGGUACUGCUCAGCGUUUGCGAUGAACCACAAUCACCCUCAUCCUGCUAAGGAAUCAGGCAGGAUCUUACUAGAUCAUGAGGGUGAACAAUUGGUUCUUCUCCUUCCCCUUGUUAUCCAUACACAUACACCUCCCCCCUCCCCCCCUCCCUCUCUGUCUCUUUUUAGGUCAUUUAUAAUCAGCAGUCAUGGAGCCCUGGCCUCAUUAGUGAUAUAGCCAUUCCUUCAGUGCUUUAGAAAUAAUCAUUUAGGGGGGGAAAUGCACAGUUUUCUUCCCUUGAGAGCCUGUGAGUGAUGAAUUUAUUUCAGUCUGGCUGUCUUGCUCAGCCUUAUUUCCAUAUUUAUUUCAACAAAUAAUGUACUGUGGGAACAACAAAAUGCACUCUCCAGCAGAGCAAGGUUAGUUUUUGGCCAUGGAGGAGUUAACGGGAACAAUGGCAGAGAAUGAUCUAUUUCAAACCUGGUAUUUGGCAAGGAGAAAGUUUAUAUAUUUGAGUAUACAUGCAUAUUUGAGUAUUUGUGUUUCCUAAUGUUGCAAGGCAGGGAUUUGAUGACAGAUUUAUUCAUAGGCUGGCACUUAGAGCACACAGAGACUGUCUCCAGAGUGAUUUCUGCCACCGACCCUUCCUCCUGUAAGGAUCAUCUCUUUUGUAUGGGUGGACAGGCGAUUAGCUCUCUAUGCCAGCUAAUUAAUUUGGCUUUUCCAGAGCAAGCUCUGCUAAUUGCAGCCAGUUGGGAGGGCUGAUAUUAAGGGACCAGGGCGCUUACUGAAGGCCUCAGUAAAUUCAGCCCAGUGGUUUCUAGAAAAAGGAGCUGCUAAUAUCCUUUGCUUCUAAGGAACGAUAGCUUGAUGUAAUGUGUGAGCAGCCUCCUUCACAGAACCAUUUCAGCAACUGAACUGAGAUUGGGCCACGUUGCAUUUCACUCUGGGAAAUAUUUUUUGUGGACGAAUGAGCAUGUGUAUUAUAUUAUAUCAGGGAUAAUGUGAGUGAUGUUUCCAUUAUUGGCACACUAACUGGAGCCGGCCAAAAUACGUACGCACAGAUGAAUCCCUAUAUAGAAAAAAGCAACUUAAGAAACAGGCCAGCACUGAAUUGCAAACUAAAAACAUGAUGUAAGCAAUCACCCCUAAAAUGGCACGCCCUAGUGCGCCAUCCUCCAUGGGACAGCCCUUUAGGUAUUUGAAAAUGGACAUCUCAGUCUCCUCUUUGCCAGGCUAAACAUUCCCAAUUCCCUCAGCCGUUCCUCCCAAGGCUUGGUUUCCAGACCCUUGAUCAUAUUGGUUGUCUCCAGCUUGUCAAUAGCCUUUUAAAAUUGUAGUGACACAGUGCUCUAGGUGUGGCCUGGCCAAGACAGAACAAAGCGGGACUUUUACUUCCCUUGAUCAGGACACAAGACUUCUGUUGAUGCAGCGUAGAAUAGCAUUAGCCCUUUGCUGCUGCUGCAUCACACUGUUGACUCAUGUUAAGCUUGUGGUUUACUAAGCCCUCUAGACAGUGGCGGAGCUUCAAGCUCCGGCAGUGGGGCAGAGAGCAGGUGGGGCAGGGCUGGCGCGCGUCCUGGGUGGCGUGGCGCGCCACCUGCGGGAGUGUUGCACCCAGCGCAGGGGGGGGCAACCAUGAUGGCACCCCACUGGGAUCGUGCCUCCGGUGGCGGUGCGCUCCCCCCGCACCCCUGUUCCUCCGCCACUGCCCCUAGAUUCUUUUCACAUGUACUACUAGCAAGCUAGAUGUCCCCCAUCUUAUAUUUCUGCAGCUGGUUCUUCCUGCCUAUGUGUAGGACCCAACAUUUGUCCCAGUUGAAAUUCAUUUUGUUAAGUUUUAUUGAUAUUUUGAUAUCUCAACACACCUUUGGAGUAUUAAGCUACUGUCUGGAAGCACUCCUAGAGUCAAAAAGGAUGGUGAGAAAAUGGUGUUAUCAGGCAAAUGGAUGACAUCAGACCUAUUUAAGAGGUGGGGAUGGAAGAACUGAAAGCUGCUUGCUUUAACAGUGGUCUGUGCAAUGUAAAGAUUGCAAGUAAAAUAUUGGGCUUAGAGGACUGUUAAUAGGACUAUGAGCUGUGUUAAGAGUUCACCCAAUUGCUCCAUCAGAUAUUUGAUAUUAUCCACUUUGAAAUCUCCCAGUCAUCAUUUAUGUGCUUCUCAUCGACCCAUUUACUUAAGUUGUUGGUAGCAGCAAAUCAUGGAGUGAGCAAGGCUGCAAGGGUCAGCUGACUAGUGAGACUUUGGAGCUUUUGUGGUACUGAUGUUCCACUGAAUUGCAUUCUGUGUGCUGAGGUUCUGACUUUUUUUUAUUAUCAGGAACUGUAAUUGUAAGGAAAUAGGAUACUUGCUUGGGCUGGAGCACCAUUUGGUGGUGUUAGCAGUACUGCCUUGCCCAGUGACUUUGCUGCAACUGGCUUCAAAAUUCCUCUUCACCCCUUUCUGUCCCCCUUCCUCCCCCCGGAAAAGCAUGUUGCUAGUUAUGCUUUCAGCUUGUAGCUAGCAUAUGCAACCAGCAGAGCACAGCCGUGUACCCUCGAGUCUUGUUUUCAAGAAUGCUGUAAGACUUGUUGGCAAGCUCCCUGCUUCCAAGAAGCCACUAAGGCUGUUUUGGGUGGCAUUUGAGGACACAGAGGCUAUGCAAACCUUUGCCAAUGCUGCUGUUAUGAAAUAUGUGUGCCAGUAGCUGACAGCAAAUCUUCUGGCAUUCCCCCCCCCCAGCAAUUAAGACCUGUGGUUACAUAAUAGCCUUUAAGCUGUAAUGUCCACGAUGGUGUGUGCUCUGAAAUUGUCACUUUUAAAAAUUUGCUUACUUUUUAUGGGGCCAUCAAAAUGAGGGUCUGUAGUGUAGUGAUAGAGCACAUGUUUUGCCUGUAGAAAGCCCCAGCUUCAGGCACCAGUGUCUUCCAUUUAAAAGGAUCUGAUAGUGCUAUCUGAUGGGAAAGACUUCCUCCUUGAAGCCCUGGGAGGCCUGCUGCCAGUCAGUCAGAGUGGAGAAUACUGAGCAAGAUAGACAAGUAUAAGGCAACUUCCUGCGAUGGUACCAAAUUGUUGUUCUUAGGAGUUCACAAAAUUUGACUUUUUUCUUCUUAAAGAAUAGAACAGCAACUACUUGAAUGCUUUUUUUUUUUAAUUAAAAAAAAUCUUUAAAAACCACUGUAGUUUGGACAGCAUGGCUAAUGGUAGUGACUGAAAAGGAUUUAAAAUAAUAAUAAUUAACAUUAUGGUGGUAUACCUAUAUUACAAAAAUACUACUGAUUAAAGAGUCAGUUAAAAAAUAAAUUGUGUAAUGAACUAGCACUCACUGCCCAAGUUAAGCAAAUGUGUGCUGAGCUGUGCUAGGUUUGCUUUUAUGCUGCAUCACUGCCCAUGCCCAAUCGCCUCCACCCCCUGCUUUUAAAUAGGUGGAGGGGUAAUGCUAAAGGCAUCUACAUCAAUGGAGAUUGUGCUCAUUUUUCAAAAGGGUUGGAUUUACAGCAAUCUGAGAAAAGGCAAGGAACCACAUGGAAAAUGCGCAGUGGCAACUGGACGAUGGUGUAAUGUGGAUGCCUCGCUAAAAGUGAGUGAGCAAAGCAUGGCAAUUCCACACUGAACAUCUAGUGUGGAAGCAUCCAAAGAUUCAAAUCCUAAGUAGCUAUUGAGCUCAUUGCUGGUAUAUUCUGUUAUACCAGCAACAAAGCAACAUGAAAACACAUAAUAUAAUUUUGGGUUCUCAAGCAUCUCAGCGUCUUGAAGACCAUAAUUCAGGGGAGAACUAAGAAAGAUUUCCCAUAGUGCACUGAUUAGUUGCUUGCCACACAGUGUGGCCACAGAAGUAGAACAGAAAACAAUGUCUGCACAUGUGCUUUAUUGCAGACAUUGCUUAAGAGACCUGACGACAAUUGCAUUGUGUUAUUGCUGUCAAAAAUCCCCAAAUCAAGAGCUUUUUGUUUUGUUUUGUUGUUCUAUAGUGCUCCUAGGAAGCGUCUUACCAAACCAGUAUCGCCCAGCCCAGCCUUCCUCAACCUGUUGCCCUGCAGAUGCUGCUGGACUGCAGUUCCCUUUAUCCCUGAUGAUUGGCUGUGUCAUCUUGGAUGAUGGGCAUUGUAGUCCAUCUGGAGAGUGGGAAGAUGGGUCCAUAUUAUUCAGAUUUCCCUUUUCCUCUUUCCUUUCUGAUCUUUGACUUUUGAGCCCUUUGAAAGGGAUAGUUAUUUUUGACCACCAUGCAGCACUUAGUACAUUUUAAGUGGUUCAAAAAUAAACAUCAUCUCACCAGAGUGCUGCUUCAGCACUUUUCUGCUGUAUUGGAAAUGCAGGAAAGCAUACCAACAAAGAAAUGAGGCAUCGUGUUUCACAGGGCUUUGGAAAACGCUCUGUAUUGUGGCACACAUCCUCCCCCAGUGUUCCCCACGUCUUUUGUAAAUAGUGCUGGGUAUCAGUGGGUAAGUUAACAGAGUAACCCCAAGACUUGUGUGCACUGAUCAGAUGUUGUGAAUCAGGCUGGGCAAAAAUAUGCAGAGUAGGUAUACUCCUGGUUCGUAUGAAUUAUUGAGCACCCAACUCUGUAAAUUGUGAUUCAAACAAGGAAUACAAAAUAGAAUUUGGGAGAGGAAAAUCUGUGCAUGUGAACUUCCUUAUCUGUGUUUUCCUCCCACUAAAGAGGUCCAUGGAGGCAAGCUAACUGCUCUUAAAUCAACUGAAAAUGAGCGGGGUUAAAGCCAAAACGAAAACAGCAGCAGGACUCUUACUGCAGAUCAAUGCAUGUUUGGCAUAGAUUCUGCUGGUGUCUAUUUCAAGAUGCACAGAACAAAAAGUCUCAGGCUGAAGCUGACACUGGAGACCUGCUUCAAAAUGGCAGUCCUUUGUCAGGGCUUUUCUGCAUAGAGGUGGCUCUCUUUCUUUUACCAGCUGCUGAUUCUUUGGCACUGAACUGGUAGGAGAAGCAUCAGAUGUUUUCUUGGAGCCCCUCUCUUUGCUUUUCCCCUUCCCUUUCUCUUCCCCCCCAGUUCCCCUGCUACCCUAUGCUCUUCUGGCUCCCCACUCCCCAAAUUGAACAUGUACAGAUUUUACGGUUCACUGGAGAAUAAGUGGCUGUCAUUUCACAGACGGGCCAGGAUGUAAUUAGCCACAAUGCAUCGAAGUAAUGGAACAGAUGUCUCUUUGUAAACUGAGUUUGCUGUUGCACACUCUGUGUGUGUGACCUGCCGACUGCUUGAAGCUAUUCCUCCCAGCCCCCUCUCUUUGCCUCUCCCUUCUCUCUGUUUCGCAGCCAAGGGCUUAACUCUCACAUGAAGUGGCUGCUGUUAUGUUUUCCCCUCUUUUCUCUGUCCCCUCUCCGCUGCAAGGCUACUGAUGAUAGGAGAGCGCUAGCCAGCAUUUACCUGGUGGAGUCAUUCAAAGCAUGAAAAAGACGACACCUACCCUUUAUAAGAUAAUUUGCAGUUUCAAGUAGCACUUGGUGCUUGCUUAAUAUGAGAGUAAAAUCAUAAAUGACUGUUACGAUGUCUGGACAAAUAUUUUGAAACUGAAAAAUAAAACAGCUAUAUUCCUGUUCUGCUGCCAAAUUAGUAUUUACGCUUGAAGUGGAACUCUGUCGAACAACAUGCAGACAAAUAGGUAUGAUCCAGGAGAAACCUAUUUGUGGGAUGGUUCAUAUAUGUCGAGUCCGAUGCUUAUAGUUUUGAGAGCAUUGUAGCUUAGAACAAUUGGAAAUCAGAGAAACUAGAGGGAGUGUUAAUAUUUAAAAUACAAAACUUGCUCCCACAGCAAGGCAGUGAUGGCCACCAACCUAGAUGGCUUUCAAAGAGGGUUAGGCAAAUUCAUGGAGGAGAGAGCUAUUGAUGGCAACUAGCCGUGAUGGCUAGUCUUCCUCUAUGAUCAGAGACAGCAGUGCUUUUUAAUGCCAGUUGCUGGAAACCACAGGAAGGGAGAAUGCCACAAGAAUCUGGCUGGCCACUAUGACAACAGGAUGCUGGACUUGAUGGGCCAUUGGCCUGAUCCAGCAGGAUUUUAUUAUAUUCUUAUGUAUACGUCUCUACAAAUAUUGCCUAUUUCUAGUGAUUUGACAUAAGUGGUGGGAUUCUCCUGGCCAGAGCAGUCUUUCUUCCUCUCUGUUUGGUUCUUUAGUUCUUCCUCCUCUUCCCAGGCUCACACAGAGGUUGUCAUGUAUGAAAACGCCAUGUUUGCAUCCAACCUAUCCCUAGCUUCCAAGUCCUUAAUUCCUGAAAUAUCUGUGUAUAAGCCAGAAGAGGGACUUCUCAAUGUCACCAAACAAUACAGGGGGCAAAACUGUGACAGCUCUGAAGAUUUUCACCGGGAAAAUGUCUUCUAUCAAUACAGAGCAGACUUGUGGCUGAGGGCCCAGCUCUCUCCAGAAGCUAGAGCGUGAAGAUUGCUUCAUUAUCCAAACUCAAAUGCCACCUGUUGUACCAAUAUAUCCUUAGGCCUUUCUGUGAAUAUGUGUGUGUGUGUGUGUGUGUGUGUGUGUGUGUGUGUGUGGUUAAGUUUCAGGUGGGGAUAGCAGUGUCUCUUAAUUGUCCUAAGAUUAAGAGAAGUCAUUCUCUGGCAUGUUGCAAGAGGAACAUUUUUAUUACUGUUUACGAUGCAUUGUUCAGGAUCUCACAGAUCAAAAUAUGAACAUGCCUGUAACAGUGCUGUUCUCGUGCCUAGUGUCAUUGCCAAGGUCACAUGCACACAUGCACACUGUGCAUUGCUGGGGGCUCUACUCUGCCUCCUAUAACCAUUUACUCUGCAUUAGCCUGGCCUGAACUGUUUUAAAGAUGAAGGUUUGGGUUGCUUUUUUAAAUUCUAAAUAUGCUAGAGACACACAAUGGUCUUUAGUCACCGGUGUGAGGAAUGGCUGGCUGUGCACUACAUUGCACUUUAAUGUCAAUGCAUGCACAUUUACACGCAGAGAAAAUACAUAAACUCUCCAACUUUGAAGAUAUAAUUCCCAAAGCUCUGAUGCUAAGAGCUGCACCUCAGCCAUCCCCCGCCUGGUGCUCUUCAGAUAUUUUGGCCUACAACUCCCAUCAGCCUCAGCCAUCAUGGCCAAUGGACAUCACAUGUAAAAAGAAAAAUGUUUUAAAGGCUUCAC